rnacentral:rRNA from 1 species
UACAGAGGGGGCAAGCGUUGUUCGGAAUUACUGGGCGUAAAGGGCGCGUAGGCGGCCUUCUAAGUCGAACGUGAAAUCCCUGGGCUCAACCCAGGAACUGCGUCCGAUACUGGAAGGCUUGACUCCGGGAGAGGGAUGCGGAAUUCCAGGUGUAGCGGUGAAAUGCGUAGAUAUCUGGAGGAACACCGGUGGCGAAGGCGGUUUCCUGGCCGAGUACUGACGCUGAGGCACGAAAGCGUGGGGAGCAAACAGG